rnacentral:rRNA from 1 species
AACGAACGCUGGCGGCAUGCCUAACACAUGCCAGUCGAACGAGACCUUCGGGUCUAGUGGCGCACGGGUGCGUAACGCGUGGGAACCUGCCCUUAGGUUCGGAAUAACUCCCCGAAAGGGGUGCUAAUACCGGAUAAUGUCUUCAGACCAAAGAUUUAUCGCCUUUGGAUGGGCCCGCGUUGGAUUAGCUAGUUGGUAGGGUAAAAGCCUACCAAGGCGACGAUCCAUAGCUGGUCUGAGAGGAUGAUCAGCCACACUGGGACUGAGACACGGCCCAGACUCCUACGGGAGGCAGCAGUGGGGAAUAUUGGACAAUGGGCGAAAGCCUGAUCCAGCAAUGCCGCGUGAGUGAUGAAGGCCUUAGGGUUGUAAAGCUCUUUUACCCGGGAUGAUAAUGACAGUACCGGGAGAAUAAGCUCCGGCUAACUCCGUG